ACGAACGCUGGCGGCGUGCCUAAUACAUGCAAGUCGAACGAAACUUUCUUACACCGAAUGCUUGCAUUCACCGUAAGAAGUUGAGUGGCGGACGGGUGAGUAACACGUGGGUAACCUGCCUAAAAGAAGGGGAUAACACUUGGAAACAGGUGCUAAUACCGUAUAUCUCUAAGGAUCGCAUGAUCCUUAGAUGAAAGAUGGUUCUGCUAUCGCUUUUAGAUGGACCCGCGGCGUAUUAACUAGUUGGUGGGGUAACGGCCUACCAAGGUGAUGAUACGUAGCCGAACUGAGAGGUUGAUCGGCCACAUUGGGACUGAGACACGGCCCAAACUCCUACGGGAGGCAGCAGUAGGGAAUCUUCCACAAUGGACGCAAGUCUGAUGGAGCAACGCCGCGUGAGUGAAGAAGGUCUUCGGAUCGUAAAACUCUGUUGUUAGAGAAGAACACGAGUGAGAGUAACUGUUCAUUCGAUGACGGUAUCUAACCAGCAAGUCACGGCUAACUACGUGCCAGCAGCCGCGGUAAUACGUAGGUGGCAAGCGUUGUCCGGAUUUAUUGGGCGUAAAGGGAACGCAGGCGGUCUUUUAAGUCUGAUGUGAAAGCCUUCGGCUUAACCGGAGUAGUGCAUUGGAAACUGGAAGACUUGAGUGCAGAAGAGGAGAGUGGAACUCCAUGUGUAGCGGUGAAAUGCGUAGAUAUAUGGAAGAACACCAGUGGCGAAAGCGGCUCUCUGGUCUGUAACUGACGCUGAGGUUCGAAAGCGUGGGUAGCAAACAGGAUUAGAUACCCUGGUAGUCCACGCCGUAAACGAUGAAUGCUAGGUGUUGGAGGGUUUCCGCCCUUCAGUGCCGCAGCUAACGCAAUAAGCAUUCCGCCUGGGGAGUACGACCGCAAGGUUGAAACUCAAAGGAAUUGACGGGGGCCCGCACAAGCGGUGGAGCAUGUGGUUUAAUUCGAAGCAACGCGAAGAACCUUACCAGGUCUUGACAUCCUUUGACCACCUAAGAGAUUAGGCUUUCCCGUCGGGGACAAAGUGACAGGUGGUGCAUGGUUGUCGUCAGCUCGUGUCGUGAGAUGUUGGGUUAAGUCCCGCAACGAGCGCAACCCUUGUUGUCAGUUGCCAGCAUUAAGUUGGGCACUCUGGCGAGACUGCCGGUGACAAACCGGAGGAAGGUGGGGACGACGUCAAGUCAUCAUGCCCCUUAUGACCUGGGCUACACACGUGCUACAAUGGACGGUACAACGAGUCGCGAGACCGCGAGGUUUAGCUAAUCUCUUAAAGCCGUUCUCAGUUCGGAUUGUAGGCUGCAACUCGCCUACAUGAAGUCGGAAUCGCUAGUAAUCGCGAAUCAGCAUGUCGCGGUGAAUACGUUCCCGGGCCUUGUACACACCGCCCGUCACACCAUGAGAGUUUGUAACACCCAAAGCCGGUGGGGUAACCGCAAGGAGCCAGCCGUCUAAGGUGGGACAGAUGAUUGGGGUG
rnacentral:rRNA from 1 species